rnacentral:rRNA from 1 species
AAUGAACGCUGGCGGCGUGCCUAAUACAUGCAAGUCGAGCGAACAGACGAGGAGCUUGCUCCUCUGACGUUAGCGGCGGACGGGUGAGUAACACGUGGAUAACCUACCUAUAAGACUGGGAUAACUUCGGGAAACCGGAUCUAAUACCGGAUAAUAUAUCGAACCGCAUGAUUCAAUAGUUAAAGACGGUUUUGCUGUCACUUAUAGAUGGAUCCGCGCCGCAUUAGCUAGUUGGUAAGGUAACGGCUUACCAAGGCAACGAUGCGUAGCCGACCUGAGAGGGUGAUCGGCCACACUGGAACUGAGACACGGUCCAGACUCCUACGGGAGGCAGCAGUAGGGAAUCUUGCGCAAUGGGCGAAAGCUUGACGGAGCAACGCCGCGUGAGUGAUGAAGGUCUUCGGAUCGUAAAACUCUGUUAUUAGGGAAGAACAAAUGUGUAAGUAACUAUGCACGUCUUGACGGUACCUAAUCAGAAAGCCACGGCUAACUACGUG